rnacentral:rRNA from 1 species
UACGAAGGGGGCUAGCGUUGCUCGGAAUUACUGGGCGUAAAGGGCUCGUAGGCGGUUUGUCGCGUCGGGAGUGAAAUCCACUGGCUUAACUGGUGGCUUGCUUUCGAUACGGGCAGACUGGAGGUAUGCAGGGGGAGAACGGAAUUCCUGGUGUAGCGGUGAAAUGCGUAGAGAUCGGGAGGAACACCAGUGGCGAAGGCGGCUACCUGGACCAGCACUGACACUCAGGCACGAAAAGCGUGGGGGAGCAAAACAGGG